UUACUGGUGAAUUGAGCAUAAGAUCCGUGACAGUCUCCGCCUCCCACCGUCUGUCACUGAAGAGAAUGGAUAGCAUUGUUGAUAGUUCAACCAUAAAACGUAUUACUUUAAAUGUUUUCCUACAAAAAGGUCAACGUGAUAAAUUUGAUAUACAUUCAAAUGUUAUUAUUAUGUCCAUUAUAUGUUUGUAAUUAUUGAUAAUAAUUAUAUUUCUAAUUAAAAUGAGUUCACCAGUGUCAAUAAGUAAUUCUGCAUCGCUAACUGGUAAUAAUGGAAUGGAAACAGUAGUGGCAGUGGCACUUGGCGCGCUUGCUGCUGUUUUUCUUGGUGCUCUCUUAGUAUUACUUGUCAUUUGUCGUAGACAACGUUGUUAUUAUAAUCAAAAAGAUUCACCAGAUCUCAGUUCAGAUUUAUUAGAAGGAGAGAAUAAUCCUGGAUUAGGUUUGGGUACAUGGGAAAGUGAAGAAUGGCUUGCCGGUGCUGAAAGAUGGGUCGAUGAUGCUACUGGUUUAGCACCACCUUGUAUCGCUGUACUUCGUUCUUGUCAUGCUUUGGCAGCAAGUCUUACUGCUAUUGCAGGAACAGUAAAUAGCAAUACAGUACCAUUGGAAAUAGUAGAUGUUGCUAGAAGAAUUCCACCUCGUGUCGAUGAUGUAGUACGAAGUUUAUAUCCACCUUUGGAUGCUAGAUUAUUGGAAGCAAGAGUGGCUGCAUUGGUAUUAGCUGUUACUCAUUUAGCGUUAGUAACUAAACACGGUGUUCCAAAAAGUCAAGCUAGAAAAUUAACAUUCAUUGAUCAGGCAUUAAAUGACAUGGAUUCACAUUUGUUAAUAUUAAGAAAUGCCGCAUUAGCGCAAGAAGCUGUAUGUUCUAUUCCAGCUUCUACAUCGGUCUAAAUUAAUUUCAUUGAAUGGAGAACAGAAAAUUAACAGUAUUUAUAUAAAGGCCUCUCUCUCUCUCUCUCUCUCUCUCUCUCUCUCUCUCUCUCACACACACACAUACACGCACACACACAUAACACACACUCUAUCUGUUUCUAUUGCCUUUAUUUUAUUUUAUAAAAAUAUUAAAAUAUUUUAGAGAUUUCUUAUAUAAAUGUUUUAUAGAAAUAAUCUACUUUAUAGAUUGACUAUUAUAUUUUUGAUAUCCCAUAAAUAAUUCGUUCAAUUAUGUAUAACAACAAAUCUUUCUGUAAUGAUCAACUGAGAAUAAUUUGCGAUGGUAAACUCAUACGAAAAGACAGCUCUUAACGCCAUCUACAGUAUAUUUUUGAAAACAAAUUUAUCAUCUCUCAAUUCAAAUUUAAAUUUAAUAGAAAAGAAAAUUAUUUGUUUAAUUUUUAAUUAAUUACUAUUAACUAAACUAAUUACAAAUAGUAAUCUAAUAGUAUUAUAGUUAAUUGUAUAAAACUUUUAUAUAUAUAUAUAUAUAAAAUAUAAAUACAUGUUACACGUGAAUUCUUUAAAUGUAUUAAAAAAGAGAUUAUAGUUAGAAAUACACAUGGCAUAUGAAGAUAUAUCGAAAUAAUGAAAAAUAAUAAGUAUUGUUAUAUAAAUAUUGAUAAAUGAUAUAUCGUAGUUAAUAUUUUAUAUAUAAACGUAAUGUCUUCCAUAUUA